AUGAGCGACCUUUUCGUCAUUGGAGUUGGCAUUUUAGUCUGCUUGCUGCUCCAAUGUGAAGCAUAUUAUACAGUGGGGGGUGCAGAAGGAUGGAGGGCAGAUCCUAGCAUUACAGACUGGCCCAAAGACAUGAGUUUCAAGGCUGGAGAUGUUUUAUUUUUCAAAUAUUCCUCAGAAGACCUCGGCGUAGUUGCUCUUACGAAUAGCGAUGCGUAUAAGAACUGUAACAUAAUUUUAGACUUGACCCGGACAUUUCACGGAUCAGGAAACGAUCUUGUGGUAUUACAGCAAGGCACAAUCUACUUCGUAGCUAUAACUAAAGCUUACUGUAUUAAGGGAGCGAAAAUGAUGAUUGAUGUCAAGUAACUGCAAAGAUAUGGACAGGAUGGACGCAGUUAAUCAGCCUCCAUUGUUAAUUGUAUAAAACCAGAGUUGAUGCUGCUCUGAUGAAAAAAAUAAUUGGAGCUGUAUUUUUAUUUUUCACUGUCGUUUGCCUAAUGAAUAAUUUAUUUUGGCAUUAGAUUUUUGGAAUCCCAAUAUUCCUAAAAGUAAUAUUCAAAGCUCAAAUUAAUAGACAUUUAAACUGAAAAUCUGUACUACCGACUAUAAAUUUAGGCUAAAAGCAAUACGGAUCAUAAGAUUUAACACAAGUGCAAAAAUGCUGGAGGAAAACAAAUAAAAGUAAGGGUGUUACAUAGCUUUCUUUGCUGAAAUGCGUUUUGCAGGCUCAUUUUGCAACAUUCGC